CAAGGAAACCAUGAUUGUGC
rnacentral:piRNA from 1 species